AUGUUGGGCCCAGAACCCCAAGGACCAGCCUGCCUGGGGGACCCCUUUGUAACACAACUGGAGUUCUUAAUGUUCACCCACGUGUUCACCUCCCAACGAGGCCAGGCAUUCCCAUCUCCACUUUGCAGAGGAGAAAACCAAGACCCAAGGUGUACUGACCCUCCUAGAGUCACACAGACAGUAAGGGCCAGGCACCAAAUUCAAACCAAUGGCCUGAGCAACUUCCUUCCUGGAAGUGUAAGCCAGGGACUGGCAUUGCCCACAGUAGAGCAAAUUGGGACAACUGUCCAGGAUACCAUGGGCUCUAAGGCCAGAUGCAUCCCUGAAGGGGACUCUUUCAGGCACCAGGGAGAGGCUCGGAGGGUUGACCAGGAUCCUGCCUCUGGAUGGGCCGUCCAGGAGCUGAGGGGCACUGCCUCCUCGCCGCCAGCCCAGGCCUGGCUGGGUAAGGUGCUGUCCUCAAGCUCAGACAGCUUUGUAGAGUGCAGGUCCCCAAAGGCAUAUGCCUUGGUGAGAGAACAUUUAAGGACCGUUGGUGCCCUGGGAAGGAGGGGCUCCACUGGACCAUGGGCUGGGCACUCAGGCUUUAGUAACCUGCACCCAUAAGGGCAAACCAGGCUGAGCCAAGGAGGGGCAGGCUGAAUGCCAGGCUCUGUUCAGGGUCUGCAGCUAUGGAGAGGGGGUGUUACGCCUUGGAGUGCCCUGCCAGCUCAGGGUCUGUGUCCUCAAGCUUCAUCAGGAUCUUCCUUAAUUGCAGGCUGCAUCAGGAGGGUGUUCAGGCCUCAGCACAAAGGGGUAGAGUGGGGUCAGGUCCUCAGAAUUUUUAAGAAGUUGAGGUGGGGCAGCUGAAGGGUCCUGCUGGUGGGGGCAGUCCUGAGGUUAAUGCUCCCAAAUCGGUGACCCCCAGAGAUGCGGCGCAGGAAGCAUUUUAAGGAGCCUCAGUACAGCUUGUUCACUUUUGGCUCCUAAAGGUUGUAACUGUUGCAAGGGCAGGGACAGUUCCCAGAGGGAUUCUAGAAAAUGAAAGACCCCACUCUCCCGGAGCUGACCACACCCAUACUGGGUCAGGACAUACCGGGGCCCACCGAGCUCCCUCUGGGGCACCCCCCUCAAGAGGGCCCUGGAGCUAUGCCAUUCCUCUGCAGAGAUCCCCACCCGGGUAGGAGCCUUCCCCUCCCCGCCAACCACAGCCCAGCUCUCCUGCCCCCUUGCCUGCCCCCCACACACAAGGUAUAGGAGACUUAGAGACCCAGUCAACACCAGCUGUGGGCUGUCAGAAGGGUAACCCGCCCUCUCCCCUCCCCCUCUGCUUCCUGCUGCCCUGAGAUCAAAGGGUGUCUCCUGGGUGGCAGUUCCUGUCAUCAGCCUUAAUGGAAGCUCUCCCUAUUAGUAGAGGGGCUGGAAGGAGAGGCAGCCAGGCGGGAGGUGGGAACAUCAGAUCUGGGCUCCAGAGUUGGGGGGAGAGUACAGGAAGGUUCCUUUUCACCCCAGGUCUAGCACGGGAUUUGGUAGGGCUUGUGCUGUGGUCCUGUACGUGGGCCUGCCCCUCCCUGGGCCCCUCCAGGAUGGUUUAGAGCCCUCCUAUGUGGAGGUGACAUGGGGUGAC
ensembl:lncRNA